rnacentral:SRP_RNA from 1 species
GCCGGGCAUGGUGGUGCAUGCCUGUAGUUCCAGCUACUUGGAAGGCUGAGGCAAGAGAAUCGUUUGAACCCAGGAGGUGGAGGUUGCAGUGAGCUGAGAUCGGGCCACUGCAUUACAGCCUGGGAGACAGAGCGAGAUUUUGCCUCAA